rnacentral:rRNA from 1 species
AUCAGCGUCAGUAACAACAUAAUAAUUACAACUUUCAACAACGGAUCUCUUGGUUCUGGCAUCGAUGAAGAACGCAGCGAAAUGCGAUAAGUAGUGUGAAUUGCAGAAUUCAGUGAAUCAUCGAAUCUUUGAACGCACAUUGCGCCCUUUGGUAUUCCAAAGGGCAUGCCUGUUCGAGCGUCAUUUGUACCCUCAAGCUUUGCUUGGUGUUGGGCGUCUUGUCUCUAGUUCGCUGGAGACUCGCCUUAAAGUCAUUGGCAGCC